rnacentral:rRNA from 1 species
CCUACGGGGGGCAGCAGUGGGGAAUAUUGCACAAUGGGCGCAAGCCUGAUGCAGCCAUGCCGCGUGUGUGAAGAAGGCCUUCGGGUUGUAAGCACUUUCAGCGAGGAGGAAGGUGGUGAGCUUAAUACGUUCAUCAAUUGACGUUACUAGCAGAAGAAGCACCGGCUAACUCCGUGCCAGCAGCCGCGGUAAUACGGAGGGUGCACGCGUAAAUCGGAAUUACUGGGCGUAAAGCGCACGCAGGCGGUGUGGUAAGUCAGAUGCGGAAGCCCCGGGCUCAACCUGGGAACUGCAUUUGAAACUGGCAAGCUAGAGUCUCGUAGAGGGGGGUAGAAUUCCAGGUGUAGCGGUGAAAUGCGUAGAGAUCUGGAGGAAUACCGGUGGCGAAGGCGGCCCCCUGGACAAAGACUGACGCUCAGGUGCGAAAGCGUGGGGAGCAAACAGGAUUAGAUACCCUGGUAGUC